rnacentral:rRNA from 1 species
UACAGAGGGUGCGAGCGUUGUCCGGAAUCACUGGGCGUAAAGGGCGCGUAGGUGGUUGGGGAAGCGUGUGGUGAAAGCCCGGGGCUCAACCCCGGGUCGGCCAUGCGAACUGCCCGACUGGAGCAUGGUAGAGGCCAAUGGAAUUCCGGGUGUAGCGGUGGAAUGCGUAGAGAUCCGGAAGAACACCGGUGGCGAAGGCGGUUGGCUGGGCCAUUGCUGACACUGAGGCGCGACAGCGUGGGGAGCAAACAGG